GACGAACGCUGGCGGCGUGCUUAACACAUGCAAGUCGAGCGGUAAGGCCCUUUCGGGGGUACACGAGCGGCGAACGGGUGAGUAACACGUGGGUGACCUGCCCUCAGCUCUGGGAUAAGCCCGGGAAACUGGGUCUAAUACUGGAUAUGACUCCAUGACGCAUGUUGUGGGGUGGAAAGCCUUGUGCGGCUGAGGAUGGGCCCGCGGCCUAUCAGCUUGUUGUGGGGGAUGGCCUACCAAGGCGACGACGGGUAGCCGGCCUGAGA
rnacentral:rRNA from 1 species